UACAGGAGAACUGCUGAACUUGAACUGUAGGUCACUAAAGAAGCAGUUCCUUGAAAAACUGAAUUUCUAUUGUCUCUGUCAGAAAAAAAUCAUUCAUUAGCAGGAGAAGAACAGCAAGAGAUCAAUCACAUAAUCUGUAAGUACUUUCUGGAAAGAAACAGUUUAAUUUAUGGUUCUCAACCUCAGUGACACGCUGCAAUCACCAGGGCUCUUUAAAACAUCCUGAUCCCCUGCUUUCCCUCCAAUCCCAGGGGUCUGAGGACAUUGGUUUGGACAUCGGGGGUUUUCAAAGCUCCCCCAGUUAAAUAAAUGGGAACAAUAGCCUGAGAACCUGUUGACACAACUGUAAUCAUGGUAGCAAAGGUAUUGAUGGCUGAAGGGGAAACUGCACCUGUCUGCGUGGGAACAGUCACUGUGGGAGCAGAGGGUCCCACGUGAGAAGGUCUAGCAUGGCGGAUGCUGCGGCUACUGGUCCAGGAAGCACAUUUUGAGAACCACUCAGCUAGAAGAUUAUUGCAUUCAUCCAGCAACCCUCUUCCACCUUUUUUGUUCUAUUUAGGCCUUCAACAGAUUGGACGCUGCCCACCCACAUCGGGGAGGGCCACCUGCUUUUCUCAGUCCACGAAUUCAAAUGCUGCUGUCUUCCAGAAACACCUUCACAGACACAUCCAUUAUAUAUUAAAUACAAUGUGUUGCUAAAUAUCUGGGCAUCCUGUGGCCCAAUCAAGUUGACACACAGAAUUCACCACUACAGGAGUCAGGGUUAAAAUGAUUGGAUGAUUAUCUUGAGAUCAGCGGGUCAGCUCCCAGGUUUUGAAAUUGAGUGACACGGUAGGAAAUGCCCAAACCAGGUAUCUCAGGAAACACAGGAUAAGUUUGAUGAAGAGAAGACAGAGCUUCUGCUUUGGGCACAUAAAGUUAAGAUGCAAAUCGUGGUUUGGGUUUUUAUUGUAGAAACCCAGGCAGCAGUUUGGAAGAUUGGUCUGGAGUACUAAAGAGAGAUUUAUCUAGAGAGAGACUUGACAGUCAUUGGCAUUUGGGCUGGGUGAAUCCACAGAUCCUUUAAGGAGAACGAUGUGAGAGACUGGGAGAAGGAGAGAAAUCUGAACAUUCAAGUCACUGAGAACGAAGUGGCAGUGGAGAGAAGAGCAGCAAUCACAGAAAUGGAGCAAUGAGGAAGGAAGGAGGGGAUGGCAUCUGUGCCAAAAGUCAGCGGGAGGGCAUGCAGGAGAAGGAUGGGAAGUGUCUACAACUCUCAUGAUUCUGGGUAAAACUGGAGUCCUGUGUUCUAGUAGUCUCAAUAGAGGGAAGAAGGUGGAAGCUAGAUUUUAAAUGGGGUUGAGCCAGAAGGGAAGUUAGGAGGGAAAUGAAACUAUUUUUAGAAAUUUGGCUAUGAAGAAGACUUGAGGUGGAUAGCUCUCUAUCUUUUAAGGUGAAAAUCAUGCAAUUUUGUUUAUAUCUCGAGAGAAAGAGGCUGUGAGUGUUGCUGGAGGGCUCGGGAAGGUCUCUGGAUGCCAGUGAGACCCCAGCCCCAGCCGGUUUUCCAGGUUCUUGACAGCAUCACAAGAACGAAUUCAGGGGGGAGUCGAGUCAGAAUGAAGCGCAAGGCGAGAAGCUUCCAUUGCAAAGCGAAAGUGUGCUCUUGAGAGGAGCGUAGCCAUGCCCGUGAGAACAAGUCAGGCACAACGGAGGCUGGGUUUCUUAUUUUAGGGAUGUUUCUUUCUCUUUCUUUCUUUCUAUUUCU
rnacentral:lncRNA from 10 species